UGUAUUUUACGCCGUGGUGUGACCUAGCCGAGAGUUGCAUCAUUUAAUCAAAAGCUUUAGGGGUUGUGCUCAAAUUAAUGCUUUUAUUGCCUUAAGGGGCAAAGGUUUAAGUCAGUAUUGACUUUGCAGGUAUCUCGAGACCCCGCCUGCACCUCCAAGAGCCUCUUACGCGAUCCGUUCCAGUGAGUUUAACGUACAGCUCAAUCCAGAAUAUGGCAUUAUCGUUACUGAAGCAACACCGUCACAGUAUGGUGGUUCAAUAGUUGCAGGAGUUUAGGGUUUCUGAUGAGCGAGAGUAGAGAUCCUCUGCGCAAAUUCUUCUAAUACCAAAAAGACGGUUGCUGCAUACUUUCGGGUUCAAGAACUCCUAGAAAUUCACCACAUUCGCUCUGGAGGCAACCUGUUUCUACCUUCGGAUGACUCAUCGGACAUCUUCGUAUGAUUUCUACAACACUCGCCCAACUAUGGAAGCCCAACCGUAGUCUCAUCUACCACUCAGGC